CAGUCCAGGCCUUUCCAAACUCUCGAGGAGGUGGGUGGUUUUUACCACAAAUUAGGAAUAAGGCUUUGGGGGAAAUAUGAAGAGGGCUGACCUUACAUACUCCAUGAGCUCUACCAAGAUACCAAGUGAAGGUGCUUUCCAAGAAGAAUCUUCUGACACACCAACGGUAUGUAAUUUCUCCAGAGAUGAGAAUGGUUGGAUACUGCGCCAUCCCCAUUCUCCCCACCAAGGAUCACACAUCUGGAGUUGGACGUUAGGGGCCAUCUGGUCCAACAGAUGACUAAACGGAGAACCAGGGAGAUGAAGAAACUGAGGCAGAGAUUGAGUGACGUGUCUAAGGCCAUAAAGUUGGUUCAGCCCAGUUGCCUCCUCCUCCAUGCAGCCUUUCCUGAUCUCCCCAGUUGGAAAUAAGGAAACUGAGGCUCAGAGGUUAAAUAAUUUUCCCAAGGUCACCGAGAUAACAUGUGGCAGAGUGAGGACCACUGUUUCUACUAUACCAUGCUGUCUCCCCUGGUGGUAAGGAUGAUGAGUAUGUGGGAGAGCCCGUCAGAUGAAGAAGUCAGGACACUGUGGGAAAAGGAGGCAUGGCAUGAUAACUGUCUUCAAGCACCUAAUGCUCUCUCCUCAAAUUAACUUGUAUUAUACUUAUCUAUUUAAGUUCUAGUUUUCCCCUCCCACCCCACUCCCAUAGAAUGUAAACUCUCUGGGGGCAGAGACUAUUUUAUCUUUGUCUUUAAAAGUGUUACAGAUGUCUUUUGUUUUUGCAUCUGAGUAAUUUUGAAUAUACAUGCACUCCUUCCUCCCCCUCCCCAGAGUGAGCCUUCCCUCACAAUAAAGAAAAACAGCUCAU